CUCACCGUGGCUCAGAUGGUAAAGCGUCUGCCUGCAAUGCAGGAGACCCAGAUUGGAUUCCUGGUUGGGAAG
rnacentral:tRNA from 1 species